rnacentral:rRNA from 1 species
GAUGAACGCUGGCGGCGUGCCUAAUACGUGCAAGUCGAGCGAACAGAUGAGGAGCUUGCUCCUCUGACGUUAGCGGCGGACGGGUGAGUAGCACGUGGAUAACCUACCUAUAAGACUGGGAUAACUUCGGGAAACCGGAGCUAAUACCGGAUAAUAUAUUGAACCGCAUGGUUCAAUAGUGAAAGACGGUUUUGCUGUCACUUAUAGAUGGAUCCGCGCCGCAUUAGCUAGUUGGUAAGGUAACGGCUUACCAAGGCAACGAUGCGUAGCCGACCUGAGAGGGUGAUCGGCCACACUGGAACUGAGACACGGUCCAGACUCCUACGGGAGGCAGCAGUAGGGAAUCUUCCGCAAUGGGCGAAAGCCUGACGGAGCAACGCCGCGUGAGUGAUGAAGGUCUUCGGAUCGUAAAACUCUGUUAUUAGGGAAGAACAAAUGUGUAAGUAACUAUGCACGUCUUGACGGUACCUAAUCAGAAAGCCACGGCUAACUACGUG